ensembl:lincRNA Gm42827 predicted gene 42827
CACAUCCUGCUUACAGAACAUGGCAAGAAGUUGGGGGCCAGAAUCAACCAUGGAAGAAAGCUGUUUACUUGCUUGGUUCCCGGAGUUUGAUUUUUGAUGCCCAAGACCACCUGCAGAGGGUCACACCAAGAGAAAGGCACAGCUGAGAACUUCUCCUGGUGUUCCUGAAUGGUCGCUCCUGCUGACUCAAACUGAGGUUGAAGCCUUGCUAUAACUUCCAGGUCAUAUGACCAAGUUUCUAACUGGACUCUACCAAACUGGAUUGCUGGUGUAUCUGUAAAGUGUUUGCAAGUGGAUUGAGUUGCUGCUGCUAACCUAUGAACUGAACUGCCGAUUUCCAGAAAACAGAGAUGGGAGUUUCUCCAAGGAACAUUUCUGAACAGGCCCACUUCCCUGUAUCCUUUCUUUUGCACUACCUCUGGUGAGUGGGUGGGGCUAAAAGGGAGGUUUAAGCAUUUAAAAACAAUCAUUUAAAAUAGGAUUUGCAAAACGUAAAGUUUCAAGGGAGUCAGAUGUACGGGCCACAGGGACUUCAGAGGGUUUAUGAAGGAGUGGCCAUGAUGAUUCCAUAGUGAUAAUUUUAGAGGGGUCAAUAUUUGCUAAAAAUCUGAUUACAAAGACCUGAUGCAUAUGUUUAUUCUAAAAGGGAAACAUUUCUAUGAAUUCCUUCUCUUAUAAGAGAGGUGGGGAAAAGAUGGAGAAAUCAAGGAGGGGGUUGUCUUUUAUAAAACAUAAUAAACAGUGAAGUAAAGGUAACAAGUUUCUUAAUACAUUGGCUUUCAGAAGCAAACCCUUCUGACUUGAGAGUUUGAACACAGGAAGAUGUGUUCCGUCGAUGGGACUGGAACGAAGGCACAGCUUUAGUCUCUGGUGCGUCAUGUCUUUACUCAUAACCACCAAAGGAUGAGAUACAAAGAUACACAGUAGUUAGUGGACUGAGAUGUUAGAAGCAGCCAGUCUAGUGAUGCUUAAAAUAUUUGUAAGGAACCCAGGACUUGUGAAGAUUUCACAGUGAUGUGUGAGAAGACACUCAGCUGCUUACACCUCCAGUUAGUAGAAUUCUAAGAGCAUUCUCAAGCUGUAGCAAAAUGCCAUCUUGGUGGAUCCAUUUUGCUUUCUGUUUCUUUUUCCACAAGCAGAACCUAUCACAAAUAUCCUUCCACAAAUACAGACUCCUUAGCUCACUGAAUUAUUCUGUGCAUGAAAGCCUACCCUGUUUUAAUCUGAAACAAGCCCUUGUGCUUCCUGAAGCUAAAUUAUAGCCACAAGUUCUGCUGAAAUUGGCUUCCUGGAAAGACCACCUAUAGACUCCCCAGGAGCCUGCCUUACAUCUGCAUUGUACACGCACCAGGAAUAACUACAUCACUGUGCAAAUUACCUGACAUGGUCAGGGAAAUGGAUUUAUUCUGAAGCAGUGAGAGAAGCUAAAAUGUCUGAAUUAGCAUUUGUUCUGUUUUCCACAAGAAAAUAUAAAGUGUAUAUUGAACUUUCUUCAUUAAAAUUCUGAGGGCAAUC